AAAAGGAGCCACGUUGGCGAUCCGCGUGGGUGCGAUCCGACGGCCCAGAUCAAUCGCGCGAUCGGACGGCCCAGAUUCAAACGCACGGACGGCCCAGAUUCAAUCAAAAACGAACGGCCCAGAUUAAAAUGAAAUGAACGGCUGUGAUCAAAAGGCAAGGGGUUAUAAAUAGAACCCCCACACCAGACCACAAACGCUAGCCGCCAGCCGCUCGCCGGAGAAGACGAACCAGAGGCCGACCGCCGCCACCCGCCGCCACUCGCCGCCGCACCGGGGAAAUUUCCGACCGCCGAUCGAGGUUGACCGAAGCCAAAUCACCAAAACACGAACCUCGCCGGAGAGUCGCCGUACCCGAGAGCGCCGCCGCCGGUACUGUUAGUGUGUUUCAGUUCCCCGGGAAAAAUUCAGGGAAAAUUAGGGACAGCCUGCAGGCGCACUGUGAAUCGUAUUCGGAUCCCGAAAACAAGUAAGGACCCCUCACCCUAUUUUCUAUCAUGGUAUUAAAGUUCAAUAAAUGAUAAAACGGUAUUUCAUGAACCAACGAAUGUGUGAAAUUGCUUAAGGUCGCUAAUGGAGCCCGAGUCUAGUGUGUUUGUCGGUUAACUGUUAUUUGGCCUGUUUUACAGUUUUAAAUGCAGUAUGAGGUUUGAUAUUUUUCAUUUUAUAGUUUCGUAUGCAUAUAUUACUGUUUUAUUAAUUAUGGGUUGAAUGACUGAAGAACUGAUACUGUAUGUUGUCUGUUCGGCAUGAAUUACGAUUUGCUUGUUUAAAUGUGAAUUGAUGAUGCUUAUUGAGGAAAAAGGGAAAUGAAACAUUGUAUAGACUGAUAAUUGUAUGAUGGGGUCAGCCUGACUAGAUAUCCUGGAGAUGGUGGACAGACCGGGUCCGUAGGGAACCCUACCGGGAUUGUGGUCUCACAUGCCGGACGGGGCAUGGAGAUCUUAUGGUUUUGGCGCCCAUACCGGACAGGGUAUGGGGACGGCCCGUUUCACCCUCAUACCGGACGGGGUAUUGAGGUUUAUGGUUUUGGCGCCCAUACCGGACGGGGUAUGGGGACGGCCCUGGAAACUGAUUAUGAAUGUUAAAGGUUAACGGGUAGCGGGACCCCUAGGGACCCCCAUGGAUACUAGUAGGCUGGUAAAUGAGAAAAGAAUAUGUUGUAUAAUGAUUGAAUUAUAAAAGGCGUGAUAAGUGCUAUGUUUUACAGCUUAUAUUAUUCCAUGAUUGUGAUAAUGUUAUUAUUUUUCUUAUAUUGUUUUCAUAAAUUCCACCGAGGUAAGUGGAUGGUAAAGGUUUUCAUGUUAAUAAACGAGUUUAUUGUAAAUUAUGCUCCAUUGGUCUUUUUGUGGUUUUCUACCCACCUUUAUCUCCGUGACGGUGAGAUAUCGUGAUGUUCUUAUUGGGCUAGUGUAGCUCACUCCUUAAUUAACCAUUUCAGAUCAGGAAGACAUGGUUCCCGAGCCCGUUCCGCAGGAGGACGACGAAGGGGAUGCCUAGAGACUCUGUA
rnacentral:lncRNA from 1 species